rnacentral:rRNA from 1 species
AUAAAUAAACUAUCGGUAUAUCUGCCCAGUGAAUCUUCAACGGCCGCAGUAUCUAACUGUGCUAAGGUAAGCAUAAUAAUUAGUUUUUUAAUUGAAAACUCGUAUGAAAGAAUCGACGAGAGACCUUCUGUCUCGGUAAUUCUACUAACUUACUAUAAGGGUAAAAAAGCCCUAAUCUUCUAAUGGGACGACAAGACCCUAUAAAACUUUACUCCACCUCCUGCAGUUAGUCGAAUCUUUACAGGAUAUGAGUUAUGCUGGGGCGGCAACUUUUAUCUUAAACACUAUAACACCUAACAUACUCUAUGAUUCUAUCGAACCCACCUAAGUAACCGAGAACAAGUUACUUUAGGGAUAACAGCGUAAUAUUUCUUUAGAGCCCCUAUCGACAGAAAUGAUUUCGACCUCGAUGUUGAAUUGAAGACUCUCCGUAGAGCAG